AUUGAACGCUGGCGGCAGGCUUAACACAUGCAAGUCGAGCGGAGAUGAGGUGCUUGCACCUUAUCUUAGCGGCGGACGGGUGAGUAAUGCUUAGGAAUCUGCCUAUUAGUGGGGGACAACAUUCCGAAAGGAAUGCUAAUACCGCAUACGUCCUACGGGAGAAAGCAGGGGAUCUUCGGACCUUGCGCUAAUAGAUGAGCCUAAGUCGGAUUAGCUAGUUGGUGGGGUAAAGGCCUAACAAGGCGACGAUCUGUAGCGGGUCUGAGAGGAUGAUCCGCCACACUGGAACUGAGACACGGCCCAGACUCCUACGGGAGGCAGCAGUGGGGAAUAUUGGACAAUGGGGGGAACCCUGAUCCAGCCAUGCCGCGUGUGUGAAGAAGGCCUUAUGGUUGUAAAGCACUUUAAGCGAGGAGGAGGCUACUGAGACUAAUACUCUUGGAUAGUGGACGUUACUCGCAGAAUAAGCACCGGCUAACUCUGUGCCAGCCGCCGCGGUAA
rnacentral:rRNA from 1 species